rnacentral:rRNA from 1 species
CUAGAUAUGUCCCGUAUAAACUAUGGCAUCAUUUCCCCCAUCCCCAAGGUAGUUGGGGCGACGGGCAUCAGACACUUUAGGCCUAUCACUGUGACCAACAUUCUGGAGCGGAUCUUUGCUAAAGUGUGUGCGACCCGCCUGGCCCUGGUGGCCGAGAGGAUUACGCACCACCUCCAGACCGCAUUUCUGAAGGGCAGGCAAAUUCAUGAUGGGAUCUUGGCCCUUCGUGAAAUUGUCCAUGAGGUGGCCUCGCAAGGCCAUAAGGGCGUUUUUCUUAAGUUGGACGUCCAAAAAGCUUACAAUCGACUAGACUGGUCCUUCUUGCGGUUGGUGUUG